UGCCGGAAGUGGCGAGUUAAAGGCGCUCUGUAGUGGUCACCAUUUUUCUCCCCUCAGGACGCUGCGUCCACUGAGAGGCAACACGUUUUAGAUGGCGGCUGGCAGCAGCUUCGCCUAGGCUGGCAGGUUUGGGCCAGGAGACCCUGAGGCCUGAGAAGUCCGGGCACCUUAAGGCCGCUGCUGCUUUAAGACCAUAGAGGUGAGGGCGGGGAGCCAUUUGCCUGUGCUUCAAAGCCUGCGCCCAGCAGGCUGGCGGCAGGAGAGAGGGAUCUGGGACCUGCUCCUUGAGGCCCCUGCCAUCCCCUGGCCCUGGGUCACCAUCCAGCGGCAUCACUGAGGGCCGGGAGGGCCCUGGAGAAGCAGGCCGCGCACCGUUUUUUCACAGACGAUGUUUUCAGAGACUCUGCAUGGCUGCCCUUUUCUCAAAUGAAGUCAUAAAGGUAAGGAUCUGUUAGAAUUAGUGUCUUUGUAAACAUGAAUUCGAGGAAGUUACUUACUCUCAC
rnacentral:lncRNA from 1 species